GUUUUUGUUUUUUAUAUUACUAUAUAACAAGUAAUCAUUCAAAUCAUGAAAUGUAAAAUUUUUAUAAUUAAGAAACCAUGAAUUAUGAGGAAAAUGCAUAAACAAUAAUAGACAUCAUAAACGCUUCAAAAGAGUUUUAUAUUCUGCAACAGAUUUAAUAUUCAGGUUAAGUAAGCAAUUACAUAUUUUGUAAUAUAAUAUUACAAAAGUGAUCUAUUGUAAUAUAAUAUUACAAAGAUGAUCUAUUGUAAUAUAAUAUUACAAAAGUGAUCUGUUGUAAUAUAAUAUUACAAAGGUGAUCUAUUGUAAUAUAAUAUUACAAAGGUGAUCUAUUGUAAUAUAAUAUUACAAAAGUGAUCUAUUGUAAUAUAAUAUUACAAAGGUGAUCUAUUGUAAUAUAAUAUUACAAAGUAUUACAAAGGUGAUCUAUUGUAAUAUAAUAUUACAAAGGUGAUCUAUUGUAAUAUAAUAUUACAAAGGUGAUCUAUUAGGAUUUAGUGUUGUGGAUUCAUUUAUUUAUUGUUGGUAUCAAUUUUUGUGACUUGCGGAAUCAUUAGUUAUUUUGAUUAUCAAUUGACGGUUGGUGUUUCUCUUGAGGCAUUGUUGCUUUAUCCACCAAAAACGGCACCCUACAAAAUAGUGCAAGAGUGCUGAAUUGAUGUUUUUUGUUGAAUAUUUAAAAUUCACCCCUUACUCAGGACACACCCAGGAAAUAGCACAAGUGUGCUGAAUUAAUGUUUAUUGUGUUGAAUAUUUAAGAUUCACCCCUUUUAUUACACUUUCAUGGUAGUGGAUUGAAAUGUGCACACCAGACUCACCAGAUUAUCACUAGUGGUUGGAAAUGUGAACAUCUAUGAUGUGUACUUUUGUACUGUGUUUGCACAUUAGGAAAUAAAACCAAGCCUCAUUGUCCAAUCAAGUUAUAACAUAGUAGAAAUAGGCAUAGCUUUAGAAGAAUCAGAAUUUUUCCUAAUGUAACUGUUUAAAUCAUGCAAGUGUUUUUUUCUUUACAAACUUUAAGAAGAUAUUAUAUCAAUGUCAAUGAGACAAAAACAUAAAAAAAAAAUUAAUCAGAAAUAUGAACUGAAAAGACUUGUAUUGUGUGUAUUAUGGUUACUCAUUGCAUUCCUUUUUAGGGGAUUCAUAGGGAGUUACUUAACAAAUAAUUUUAUAGCAAUUCCAUGUAAUCCUUAGAAUAAAACACUUUUUUCUAUAGCACAAGAAUUGAUACCUUCAUAGUUGACAAAUAAGUUGAAUAAAGAAUUAAGCAACGGAUAAUUUUUAGAAUUAUCCAAAAUAUGCAGCCAUUGGAACAUUUUGGAGGGAAACCCAUGUACAUUAGUACUCCCAGGGAUUUUCAUUUUUAUUCAUUCACUGUUAGAUAGGUAAAACAUCUAAUUUGAACGAAGAUUUCUUCAUGAUUUUUGUUUGAAUGAAAGCAUUUCUAUUUAACCUCACAUUUGAAUUGUAAAUCAUUUAUUGUCUUGUGCAUUUGAUUUGAAAAAAAUAUACACAGAACAGGUCCUAGAAUUUUAUAUGUGUUUGUGAAUGAAAUUGAUGCCAUUAUUUUCAUAGGAAUGUCUGUAUCUUUUAUUGUACAUUAAAAAGUUGUGUUAUCAUCUUGGAUCUGUGCCAACAUUUUCAUGAUAUUUUUGUGUGUAUAUAAUAGAUUGAAUAUACCUGAUCUUGUUGAUUUUAUCUCAAUUAGAAAAUGAGCAUUGGUUUGAUAUCAAUAUGAAGAAAUCUGAUGAAAUACUAAGAAAAUUAGGGUCAGGCACAAUGUACGGUAUUCAAAACAAAAAGUA
rnacentral:lncRNA from 1 species